rnacentral:rRNA from 1 species
ACAGAGGUCCCGAGCGUUGUUCGGAUUCACUGGGCGUAAAGGGUGCGUAGGUGGCGUGGUAAGUCAGAUGUGAAAUCUCCGAGCCCAACUCGGAAACGUCAUUUGAAACUCUCAUGCUAGAGGAUUGGAGAGGGGACUGGAAUUCUCGGUGUAGCAGUGAAAUGCGUAGAUAUCGAGAGGAACACCAGUGGCGAAGGCGAGUCCCUGGACAACUCCUGACACUGAGGCACGAAAGCUAGGGGAGCAAACAGG